UACGCCGGUGGCAAGCGUUGUCCGGAAUUACUGGGCGUAAAGGGCGUGUAGGCGGCGAUGUAAGUCAGACGUGAAAACUCCGGGCUUAACUUGGAGAUUGCGUUUGAAACUGGAUGGCUAGAGGAUCGGAGAGGGCAGUGGAAUUCCCAGUGUAGCGGUGAAAUGCGUAGAUAUUGGGAGGAACACCAGUGGCGAAGGCGGCUGCCUGGACGACACCUGACGCUGAGGCGCGAAAGCUAGGGGAGCAAACGGG
rnacentral:rRNA from 1 species